AGCAGUAGCCGCGGGAAUACGGAGGAUCCGAGCGUUAUCCGGAAUUAUUAGGUUUAAAGGGUGCGUAGGCGGCAUGCUAAGUCAGGGGUGAAAGACGGUGGCUCAACCAUCGCAGUGCCUUUGAUACUGGUGUGCUUGAAUGUACAUGAGGUAGGCGGAAUGAGACAAGUAGCGAUGAAAUGCAUAGAUAUGUCUCAGAACACCAAUUGCGGAGGCAGCUUACUAAGGUAUGAUUGACGCUGAUGCACGAAAGCGUGGGGAUCAAACAGGAUUAGAUACCCCUGUAGUCCCUGUCUCUUAUAC
rnacentral:rRNA from 1 species